rnacentral:tRNA from 1 species
GAAAUAUGGGAAUCAAGAUAAAGCUUCUAACUUCUAUCUUUAGCAGUGAAACUCUGUUAAUAUUUCU